ACCCGGCUGGUGUAAUGGUAACACACUUGCGCAGAGAGAUACUGGCAUCUUCGGUGUGGGUCCAAAGGGCUUGCGCAAGAAAUUCUGGUUCAACUCCAGGUCUGGGUU